rnacentral:rRNA from 1 species
AUUGAACGCUGGCGGCAUGCCUUACACAUGCAAGUCGAACGGUAACAGGUUAAGCUGACGAGUGGCGAACGGGUGAGUAAUAUAUCGGAACGUGCCCAGUCGUGGGGGAUAACGUAGCGAAAGCUACGCUAAUACCGCAUACGAUCUACGGAUGGAAGCGGGGGAUCGCAAGACCUCGCGCGAUUGGAGCGGCCGAUAUCAGAUUAGGUUGUUGGUGAGGUAAAAGCUCACCAAGCCUGCGAUCUGUAGCUGGUCUGAGAGGACGACCAGCCACACUGGAACGGAGACACGGUCCAGACUCCUACGGGAGGCAGCAGUGGGGAAUUUUGGACAAUGGACGCAAGUCUGAUCCAGCAAUGCCGCGUGCAGGACGAAGGCCUUCGGGUUGUAAACUGCUUUUGUACAGAACGAAAAGGUUUCUACUAAUACUAGGAGCUCAUGACGGUACUGUAAGAAUAAGCACCGGCUAACUACGUGCCAGCCGCCGCAGUAA